rnacentral:tRNA from 1 species
UAUUUGUUGAUGUAAAGGGCAUAAGAAGUUUUGAUCUUCUAAGGAGUAGUGCGAUUCUACUACAAAUAA